GACUCGAUCUCACGAAUCAUGAGAUCAUGACGUGAGCAGAAAAUCAAGAGUCGGAUGCUUAAAAAUUGAGCUAUCCAGGUGCCCUGCUUAUCAAAGAUUUUGAUUUGCAAAUGUCUUAUCCUUGAUUUUUCAAAUAGUCUAUUCUGAAUUUACUCCUUGAUCUCACUGAUAGUGGAAUGUUUUUAAAAUUCUCUUUUUAAGUAGAAUUUCUACUUUAUUGUGAUCAAAGAACAUGGUAUGUACAGCAGGCACACCUUUAUAUUUGAAGAUUAAUUAUGAGUCAGAAUAUGAUGACUUUUCCUCCAAAGUUCUUGGGACUUUCCCCCAAAUAAUUUUCUACUUUGGCCAUUUGACUUACUGUAAUUGGUUAUUUCUACUUUAUUAACUACAGACACUAACAAUUUUUCCCUUUGCGAGAUUAAUUUUCUAAGCUAGAAUUUUUUUAAAAAAAUGGUUGUUUUGGGGCACCUGAUGGCUCAGUCGGCUAAGCAUCCGACUUUGGCUCUAGUAAUGAUCUUGCAGUUUGUGGGUUUGAGCCCCAAGUCGGGCUCGGUGCUAAAAGCUUAGAGCCUGGAGCCUACUUUAGAUUCUGUGUCUCCCUCUCUCUCUCUCUCAAAAAAAAAAUAAACAUAAAAAAUGUUUAUCUCUAGUCAUGUCACUGCUAUGCAUCUUCUUGGGUGGGGAUAUAAAGGAUAUAAAGUCACUGUUACAUUUUCUUUGAAUUUCUAAAAGAAAAAAACCCUAUAAUAAUAAUAAUACAGACGGUAUAAGGAAGGGAAUUAAGGCACUGGAUCCCUCUAAUUUGUUCUUAUGUUUUGCAUCACUGUAAUGAUAAGAUUCCAUAUUCUGAGGAUACUGCUCACUUUAUGUUCUUCCCUAAAUUAGGACUCAAGCUGUUUGUAUGGAGGAGGAAGAGUGGAAGGUCAUGGAAUGGGGUGACUCAACUGCGUGGGCAUGGUGUUUUCAUAGGGGUAUUAUGAGGACUCUAUUACUAACUGCAAGGAAAUAAAAUCAGGAGUUUCAGACUUACAAGAGAUGAAGAGUUUGGGGAACCAGCAAAGUCCUUAGACAAAGCAUCAAGAAGGAAGUCGUCAGUCACGGGCUGCAAGAACCAAAAAAUAUAUCAACAAACACCACCUCAACUGUUUACUCAUUAUUCAAAUGAUGUCACUAUUUACUGCCAAUCGACUUAUUAAAAAGAAAGCUAUCCCGUUCCAGAAUUAACAAUCAGGGCCAGAUGAGAAAGAUCUACUCAGAGAAAAGUGGCUUGCUUACUGGAAGUGAUUCCUUGGGCUCUUUUGGCAGGAGGGGUUUUCCAUCUUUAUCCUAUUCGGAAGAGAAAACCAUGGCAUUAAAUCAUUUCCCGUGAUUUAUCCUGUGGGAUCUAUCACAAAUAUGAACGCUUUUAAACACUGUAAGGGGUCUACAGGUCAUACCUGACAUUGUACAUUAUAAAUUAGAUUCAUCGUUUCAGGAAAAACAUUCUCUCAUCAGAGAAUAUGUUCUAAUUAGUUCAUUCCAACCAACAGCUCAGGCAUUCCCUAGGCGUGGGAGCUAAAAAAUGAAGUAGGCAAGGCUUGUGACCUCAGAAGCCUAUGAACUAGUGCAGCAGAGAAACAUGCAAAUAGUUGAAGUAGUGUGGCACAAGGUUCUGUGACAGGGCACUUACAGGACACGAAGGGAGCAAAGGGAUGCACCCCUCACCUGUGUGGGGGAUGGGCUUUGCAAAUGUUGCCUGAAAAAAGCUGGCUAAACUUUACAGCCAAUAUUCAACAUUAUCCAUUGAGGAAUACUACUUGGCAAUGAGAAAGAACGAAAUCUGGCCAUCUGUAGCAACGUGGAUGGAACUGGAGAGUGUUAUGCUAAGUGAAAUAAGUCAGGCAGAGAAGGACAGAUACCAUAUAUUUUCACUCAUAUGUGGAUCCUGAGAAACUUAACAGAAGACCAGCGGGGAGUGGAAGGGGGUGAAAGUUACAGACAUGGAAGAAGGCAAACCAUAAGAGACUCUUAAAUACUGAAAACAAACAGGGUUGAUGGGAGGUGGGAGGGAGGGAAAGUGGGUGAUGGGCAUUUGAGGAGGGUACCUGUUGGGAUGAACACUAGGUGCUGUAUGGAAACCAAUUUGACAAUAAAUUAUAAAAAAAAACAAAAAACAAAAAAACAAAACAUUAUCCGUUGAUUCGGUGCCACACCCUGCAGUAAGCACUUAGGAAUAGCACAGAAAGUAGGACAGACAAAAUUCCUGCCCCGGGAAGCUCAUCCUUAUGGCUCAGACGAUGCCAAGUUUCAGAUGACUCUAAGUGCCACUUCUGAGAAACAGGACAGAAUCAUUAAAGCAUCUUUUAGUAAAGAAAAAUUUAUAAAUGAAUGGUAAAUCCCAUUAAUCCACAUAUACAAAAAUAGGCGCAAGGCUACAUAUGUAUGUAGCUGUAUAUAAAUGCAUAUAAGUGUAUAUACGUUUAGGUGAAUAUUCUCUUGAGCAGUGGUAUCUCAUGAAGAUGACUGACAUUGGUUCUACUGUCCACGUGUGCCCCUGUUCAAGUGGUUGUACUUCAAUGACUCCCCUCCGUGUCACUAGCUGUGUACAAUCUCUACUUUCAAAAUAGGAAACAGAACAACUAUCCUCCUACUCAAUGUUAAACAGGCUUUCUUUUUCAAUGUGUAUCUAAGAGUUGGAAAUUUUUCUUCACAGGAAAUAGUUAUUCCUCAUUUUGGUUUUUCCUAGUUAUAUAAAGGCUUUCUAAGUUUUUCUUUGCUUCUUGUAUUGUAACAAAGCAGGUAUUACAUGGCAAAAAAUUAGGUAGCUUAGGCAUUAGAUUUUUUUCACUUAAGUUUUAAGGGAAAAACUAUCACUUAAAACCAAAAUCUUUAUAUUCUGCCCUGUUUCCAUGUCCCUUCUUUAUGUUUAUAAAAUUCAGUAGUAACUAAAAUAAAACAGAAAAACACUGUU